UCUCGAAUGAUGAUAAAAAUCUCAAUGUUCGCAGUAGGAGAGUAAAAAAAAAAAAAAACUCCAUGACGAAAUAUAGCCUUUCCUUAGAUGUCUGACAUAAAGC
rnacentral:snoRNA from 1 species